UUAAGUAACGAUAAUGCGGGUGGGAAACCCGCACGCCGAUAGACUAAGGUUUCCUGAUCAACGCUAAUCGGAUCAGGGUAAGCCGGGACCUAAGGUGUACCCGAACGGGGAAGCCGAUGGAAAGCAGGUUAAUAUUCCUGCGCCCGCUAUGCAACAAAAGUGACGGAGUUAUGUAGGUGCUAGGUACUGACGGAAUAGUACGUUGAGCAUAGCCUUCGGGCGAAGCGAAGCAUUGAACUUACUUCCAAGAAAAGCGAGCAUAGCGGCCCGUACCGCAAACCGACACAGGUAGUCAAGGAGAGAAUCCUGAGGCGCUCGAGUGAUUCGUGGCUAAGGAACUAGGCAAAAUCACCCCGUAACUUCGGGAGAAGGGGAUCCCGCGCAAGCGGGACGCAGAGAAAUGGCCCAGGCGACUGUUUAUCAAAAACACAGGGCUAUGCUAAAUCGAAAGAUGACGUAUAUGGCCUGACACCUGCCCGGUGCCGGAAGGUUAAGAGGGGAUGUUAUCCGCAAGGAGAAGCAUUGAAUUGAAGCCCCGGUAAACGGCGGCCGUAACGAUAACGGUCCUAAGGUAGCGAAAUUCCUUGUCAGGUAAGUUCUGACCUGCACGAAUGGUGUAACGAUCUGGGCACUGUCUCGGCCACGAGCUCGGUGAAAUUGUAGUAGCGGUGAAGAUGCCGCUUACCCGCAACGGGACGGAAAGACCCCGUGAACCUUUACUGCAGCUUCGCAUUGACUCUGGGUAAGUGAUGUGUAGGAUAGGACGGAGGCUACGAGCCGGUUUCGCCAGGAAUCGGGGAGCCAUCCUUGAAAUACGUCCCUUUGCUUAUCUGGAGCCUAACCCCGUUUCAAACGGGGGACAUUGCGUGGUGGGUAGUUUGACUGGGGUGGUCGCCUCCAAAAGAGUAACGGAGGCUUCUAAAGGUGCGCUCAGGACGAUUGGUAACCGUCUGGAGAGUAUAAUGGUAUAAGCGCGCUUGACUGUGAGACCGACGGGUCGAUCAGGUAGGAAACUAGAGCAUAGUGAUCCGGUGGUUCCGCAUGGAAGGGCCAUCGCUCAAAGGAUAAAAGGUACUCCGGGAUAACAGGCUGAUCGCUCCCAAGAGCUCAUAUCGACGGAGCGGUUUGGCACCUCGAUGUCGGCUCGUCACAUCCUGGGGCUGGAGAAGGUCCCAAGGGUUGGGCUGUUCGCCCAUUAAAGUGGCACGCGAGCUGGGUUCAGAACGUCGUGAGACAGUUCGGUCCCUAUCUGUUGUGGGCGCUGGAGAUUUGAGAGGACCUGACGCCAGUACGAGAGGACCGCGUUGGACUGACCGCUAGUGUACCUGUUGUGGCGCCAGCUGCAUUGCAGGGUAGCUAUGUCGGGAUGAGAUAAGCGCUGAAAGCAUCUAAGCGCGAAGCUCACCUCAAGAUGAGAUCUCCUUUAAG
rnacentral:rRNA from 1 species